rnacentral:rRNA from 1 species
UAAAAAGCAUUUCAAAACAAGGGCCGGGCNAGNNANNCCCUACGGGGUGCACCAGGCGCGAAAACUUUACAAUGCUGGCAACAGCGAUAAGGGAACCUCGAGUGCCAGGUUACAAAUCUGGCUGUCGAGAUGCC